rnacentral:misc_RNA from 1 species
GAGUAAACAAAAAUUAGAAGCAGAAAAGCAAUUAUCCUUUUUUUUUGUCUUAAAUUUUAAAUUAAUGAAAUUGUUCUACCUUAAAUAUAACUUACAUUGAUAUAGUAUUGUAGCAAAAUGACAUCUUUGGUUGGAGAUCAUUGGAAGCUAAUUCAAAGGUUGGCUUUGUUAGCAUAUGUCCAUAGAGGAGAAGAUUCAAAAGAUCUCUAUAAAGCUGUGAUUGCUGCUAAGGUUCUGAAAGGGUUUUAUGAUGAUAUUGUUCAUAAUGAUCAUAUAGAAAAAGCAAGAUGAGAAAUGGUAGAAAUACAUCAAAUCUGUUUCCUUAAAAAUGUCAAAAUUGUUCUUUGCAUGGAUGUAUUUUGUGAGGAAGAAGCAAUUUUGGCUAUAAGUCAGUAUGUCAAAGAACAUCCUAGAGCUUCAGAACGAGAGUUGCAACGAGAAGUUGAAAAGCAGAUAGCUAUAUUUGUAGACAAAAUUAAAUAAAUUUUGUUUGCUUAACUGUGCUGUAUAUUUAAAAUAUAAAUAAUUUUUAAUUUUAAA